GACGAACGCUGGCGGCGUGCUUAACACAUGCAAGUCGAACGGAAAGGCCCUGCUUUUGUUGGGUGCUCGAGUGUCGAACGGGUGAGUAACACGUGAGUAACCUGCCCUUGACUUUGGUAUAACUUCAGGAAACUGGGGCUAAUACCGGAUAGGAGCUCCUGCUGCAUGGUGGGGGUUGGAAAGUUUCGGCGGUUGGGGAUGGACUCGCGGCUUAUCAGCUUGUUGGUGGGGUAGUGGCUUACCAAGGCUUUGACGGGUAGCCGGCCUGAGAGGGUGACCGGCCAAAGUGGGACUGAGAUACGGCCCAGACUACUACGGGAGGCAGCAGUGGGGAAGAUUGCACAAUGGGCGGAAGCCUGAUGCAGCAACGCCGCGUGCGGGAUGAAGGCCUUCGGGUUGUAAACCGCUUUCGCCUGUGACGAAGCGUGAGUGACGGUAAUGGGUAAAGAAGCACCGGCUAACUACGUG
rnacentral:rRNA from 1 species